GUGAAUAUACUCCAACCCUCGCAGUAUAUCUCGCGUGUACUUCACGAUCGUAGCUUCCUCGAGCCCGCCUCCGUUCUUCGCCGCCGCGUCGGUCAACGUUCCGUACGGUGCGUACUCCAUCAAAAGGUUAUACGUGACGACGCCGUUUGACUCUCUCUUGGUCUCUGAUCCUCUGUAUCCGAUCACAUAGGGAGAACUCAACGACGAGAGGAUCUUGGCCUCUCUUUUCAGGAACUCUGAUCGGUGAAGCUCGGAGGAUUUGACGGCGAGGAUUUCGUUUGAGUUGUGACGUGUUGCGGCGUAGACGGUGGCUGUUGAGCCACGGCCUAGGAUUCUUCCUCUAGUCCAUUCCAUUUGGACAAGACUAGAGAAAAGUUAAGAGUUAUAAAAAAAAGUUUGUAUUUGUUUUGUAUAGUUUUGCUUUUCUACACUCUGCUGCUAUUCAACACUAGGCUUAUAUAUAAUGGGUGGAUUAGAUAGUGUAUACUUUUGGUAACAUCGAGUUUAUCUACCAACACUUAUUAUUAUGAAUAUAAUAACGUAAAUAUGUUCUUGUGUGUACACGUGAAUUUCUUUUAAAAGUUGAUAACCAAAUGAAAACCUGUUCUGAUUUGAUUUGAUUUGAUUUGAUUUUUAAAGUAACCAAAAUAAGAAGAAAAUGUGUUGAAAUUUGAAUGUGUGAAGUUUCAAGAGCACCAAAAGAAGAGAGGUUUGAGAAACGUGAGUAAAAUAUCAAUUGUCAUGUGACGUGGCAGUGGAACGUAUCUAACGCAAGUUCGUUGGGUAUGGUGACGUGGUAUUUUUUAGAUUACAGUCUCUAGAAACUAUGACGUGUCAAUCUCUGUGUGGUUAAAGAAGCUUUUAGUUUCUGCUCCCACCGUAGUUCCGUAUCUCUCUCCAGCUACGUGUCCGCAAUGUUUAGAAGCUACGUGGUGUUUACUAUUGGCCUAACGUUUAUUUGUUUUCUCUCUUUCGUUAUUUGCGUAAAGAAAGAAUUAGUAUUAUAUUUAUUUAUUUUUUUAACUAAGAAUUAGUAUUAUUUUGAUAUGUGGUUUCUUAUGAGUUUGGGAAGAAAAAAAAACUAGUGGAGAGGAGAAGCUAGGCACUUUGGUAGAUUUUGAUCGAUCAUCUGCACACUUGGAGCUUUGUCGUUACACUUCGUGAUCGUCUUAUAUUUUCAGCAUAUCUAUUUAAUUUCUAUAAAAAAAUAUUUUGUUACAUUAUUGUACAAAUUGUGAGUCUUCUCUUGGUCUAUUACCUUGGUUUCUUAUUUGAUUCUGCUUGUUAAUUUUUUGUUCAUGCCAGAAUAUAAACAAGAUUUCAAUGUGUUAAUUGUUUAAAUAUGUCUUCUUACAAACAGAUGCAACCCAUAUUAUCAUUUCAGGCUCUGUUCUUUCGGAAAUAAUUAUUUGCUAGGUGUGUACUAUAAAUAUUUAUUUUUCUAAACAAAAUCACUGCAAAGAUUUGGGAUAUCACCGGAGACCAAGACUAUAGUGUUAAUCUAUAUAUUUGUUUUCUAUCUUAUAGUCAACUUUUUAUCAUAUAGAUUAUAGACGUUCGUUAAACAAAUAUUCUGACAAUAAUACCAGAUAACAAUAAAAAUAGAUGAAGAAGCUUCCUUAGUAAAAUCGGUAACCCCUUUGAAAGAAAAUAAACGAAAGUGAGCGGUGGGUUUAACUACCAUUAUCGGUUGAGUUUAAGAAAUAAAUAAUCAAUUUUAAUUAUGAUUAGGUCUGUUUUAUGGUUCUAACUUACAACUUACAUUCAAAUUAAAGUCAAGUUCACAUAUAGAACCACGACUAAAUAGGCUAAUAAUGAAUUUCUUUCCUUACUUUUCUUUCGUUAUUUGCACUCCAAAUAGCUAUUUCAUUAUCAGUUUACGAAUAAUUUGCAUUUUAUAAAAAAAAACUCUAGUAGCUUGAAUUAAAGUUUAAUACGUCGUAUCAUACACAUUCUCUCUGAAAUUUGGAACGUCAUAAAGCUAGCAGAGUUUUUUUUUUUUUUUUUUUUAUUUUAUCUGUAAAUGACACUUUGCAAUAUAGUUUGGGUUAAGUUACAAAAAAAACUUAGAUUCUCCCCCUUAACAAGAACGCCAACUAAAUACCGGUAAGCUAAUAACUUUUAAUAAUCCACAUUCCAAUAUUCAUAUACCAAGUUAAGUAGAGUCAUGUGAACAAGUUAAAUCAAGAGUUUCAGUAAGAUUAGGUUGGAUGCUCUUGCUAGGUCGAAAAUUAUACUGAAUUUAUGCAAGAACCUAGGCUUUCAUUUGUUUUGUCAAAAUAAAACCAUGUCAUAGACCACAUUUAAAAGAUAUGGAAUUAGAUUACUUGUCGUUUUUAACUUCUGAUAAAUGAUUUGGGUUUAGGUCCAGUAACCACAAUUUCCACAAAAACAAAAAAAAAUCAAAAAAAAUAUCUAAACGGUUUCAAGAGUGAAGAACAAGUUAAAGCAAGAGUUUCAGUAAGAUUAGGUUGGAUACUCUUGCUAGGUCGAAAAUUAUACUGAAUAUAUGCAAGAACCUAAGCUUUCAUUUGUUUUGUCAAAAUAAAACCAUGCCAUAUACCACAUUUAAAAAUGGAAUUGGAUUAUUCGUCGUUUUUAACUUCUGAUAAAUGAUUUGGGUCUAGAUCCAGUAACCACAAUUCCCACAAAAACAAAAACAAAACAAAAAAAAAAAUCUAUCUAAUCAACUUUGAGAUGGAAACCUAGGGCGCAUAGAAUUCGGAAUCCGAGAUUCGAACCAAAAAAUUUGUUAUGUUAUCUGAUCUGAAAUGUAUAAAUACUAGAAUGAAUUUUAUAAGGUGAUAUUUUAGCUGAACUCGAACGGAUCGGAUAACCCAAAAAAAUCUGAAAUUAUUCAGUCAAUAUAAAUUUUUGAAACAUAUAUAAUAUAUCAAAUACUCAAUUCAAUGUUUAUUUUGAUAUGAUAUAUAAAAACAAGUUUUAAAAUUUAAAUAAAUACUUUAAACACCCAACUGCUUAUAAAUAAAUAUUUCAUAAUUUACUGACUGAAGUAACAAGUUUAUUAUAUCUAUAAGAUAAUGCAUAUUAUUUACAAACGAUGUGUUUUCACGAUUGAUUUUAGUAUUUAUUGUUAUUUACAAAUUUGAUGUGCAUUAGAUUAAUUUUUAUUUAGUUUAAGAAUCUUUUUUCUUAUGUUUUACUUUAAAAAAAUUUUUUUUACUUCAGAUACAUCCGAACCAAGCCAAACAGAUAUAACUCAAAUCCGAACAAUAUAUUAUUACUUUAUAAACUUUAAGAUACAAUAUAAAUUUGAAAUCAAACCAGAAAUGUUAUUGUCUGAAUCCGACACGUACUAAUAAAAUAUUAUAAUGGGACAUAUGAGUGUAAACCCGAAAUAUCCAGUCCAAAACUCUAACACCCAUGCCUAUGCAAACCAAUGGCAACCUUGUGUUGAGAGAGCAUCGCCAUCUACGCAGAGUUAAUAGCCAUGAGUUCAAGACCGACCGUCGUUAUACACCCAAUCACAAAUCAAUUUCCAUAUUCAGUAUCACAGUACUCGAAACACUUUUCUUUUGGCAAAAGAGAUGUAACUACAACAUUUCUUGUAUGAAAUCAAGGCUAAGUGUGUCCUUGACAAUGAGAAACAAUCCAAGGAAUAUCACAAGCAUGAUCCCUGAAGACAUGAUCCCCUGCUCCACCUCUACAGGAAGCUUCCUCCCUCCUCUAACCGCCUCCAACAGUAUCAACGCCAACGUCCCGCCGUCGAGAGCAGGCAGCGGCAAGAGAUUAAUCACGGCCAGGUUGAUAUUCAGCAGCGCCGCGAACUGGUAAAGCCCGUCGGUGUUCGAUCUCGCCACCUCUGCUCCCACCGCAAUGAUCGCCACGGGUCCUGCCACUUUACUCGCUGUCUGAGAGAAGUUAAAGAACGUCUGCUUCAGACCGUCCAAGACAUUGGAAGACAGCCCCAUAAACUCCUUCCCCGCGAACCUAAACGCUUCGGGAACGUUCCUCGGCCUCACCUUAGUGAUUCUAACGUUUGGAGACAGCUGAACACCGAUCUUCCCCGUCCCAUCGAAGUUCUUAUCAGGCCUAACCCGAACAACCAAAUCUUGAUUCCCUCUCUCGAUUCUAAACAACACAUCACUCUCGGGACUUCUCUUAACAAUAUCAACAACCUUAGAGACAGCAUCAGGACCAGUCUUAGAGAACUCAGCACCAUCCACAGAGAGGAUAACGUCACCAGAAAGCAACCCAUCACGGGAAGCAGCAGAAAAGGUCUUAACUUCGGGGACAAGAACACCAGGGAACGCUUCUUGAACAGGCAAACCAACGGACAACACUUGCACAAAGAUUAUAACAUAAGCAAAGAUCACAUUAGCGAUGAUCCCAGCCGAGACAACAAUCGAUCGAUCCAAAACCGGUCUGUUCUUGAGCAAGUUCUCGUCGUCGGUUGCAAUCUCGCUGUCGGGGUCGUUGUCGGGGAAGCCAACGAACCCACCUAGAGGGAACGCCCUAAGGGAAUACUCAACGUUCUUGAAAUCGAACUUAGCGAGGAUCGGACCGAACCCGAUAGCGAACUUACUCACGUGGAUCCCUUGGAGGGUGGCGGCGAGGAAGUGGCCGGACUCGUGGACGACGAUGAUGGCGGUGAGGACGGCGGUGGCUUCUAGGACGGACUCGAAGCUUCCUAAGUCGAUCCCGGGGAGAGCUUGUGGUCUGAGACGGAGCCGGUCCCCAUGCGGGGGGGUCUUGUUUCCGAAGGGUGCUCUGUUUUUGAGGGUUUGGUUGGGGAAAGCAGAGUAAAGGUGGGAUUUUGAGAGGUGGGUUUUGGAUCGGGGAGGGAGGUGGUUGAGAGGGGAGAGGAAGUGAGGGUUUCGAUGAGAGAUUGGGGGAGAUGAGAUGUUUAAUAGCAUGGUUUCGUGAGAAGUGGUGGAGAGUUUUGGGGGUGAAGUGGUGUUUGAUUGGAGCCAUUGUGUAAGAUAAAAUGAGGAAAACAGCAGAGUCGUGGUGUGGUUUGGCUUUUCUGUGGGUGUGUGGAUGUGAUUCAAUUCUACACUAGCUAGCAACACAUCUCUGUCUCACCUGUUUUUCGAAAUAGUUGUGUAAUGGGCCUUGUUACAAACUGAAUAUUGAUAUUUUUGGGCUUUAGGGGCCUAACAUAUUUGGGGAUAUUUGAUUAUGGAACGCAAUUUUAUGUUGCAAUUUGGAUGAACUAUGAGAUUGAUAACUUUUUAACUUUAAAAAGAAAACUGAAAAUUGCUUUAACAAUUUGUAUUGCAUCAAAAGGAACAGAGAUAACUUAUUAGGUGCUGUGAAUAGACCUCUUGCUUGGCCUUCGUUCAAGCAAUAAGAUUUUGUCUUUCCUGAGUGCAAUGGAUCAAUGGAAGUUAGAGUUGGUUAACAGGAAGGUUAAUACUCCAGUUUCUUUAAUUGCAAAAAGUGUGAUCUCUCAUAAUUUCUCUUAAUUGUUGGUUGUUCUAAGCUUUUUUUGUUAGCUUUCUUCUUCUUCUUUUUUUUUAUAAAAGAGAAUUCCUUUUGGUUGCUGUUUUUGUUGUGGGAUUGAGAUAGCUUAUUUGCUUUCACUAACAUAUUGGAUAACUGGUUUCAUGAUAAAUGAAUAAUCUAAUCCUUCAUAUGUUGAGAUUACUCUAAAGCUUUGACUGUUUAGCAUUGUUAACCCAACUUCUAAUGGUGGAAAAACUUUUAUCCUUAAUUAUUCUACAAAUUUCCAAUGAGGUGAAAGUGAAACUGUGUUUCUUCCCAUUUACUCUUGUUACUGUGUAAACUAAAUUUUGCGUUAAUUUAUUAUUUUUCUCUGUCUUUCUCACUUAAUUUUUAUUCUCAUUUCUACUUUUAUUUUUCAUUUUACUCCACAAACUAUCAAUCACAACCUAAGUUUCAGUUCAAAUUUUUAAAAAGAAAAAGAAUUAUGUGUGGCUUCAAGACACACUAUGUAAAGUAAAAUGGAGGAUUAUGAGCAUACUAAAUAAAAAAAUUGUAUUCUACAAUAUAAUCUAAAAUAAACCAAAAUUAUACUUAUCUGAUCAAAAUUAGUUCUUUUAAUUAAUAUAUAUAUUUGGAAUCAUCAGAAUAUAAAAUUACAAAAUCAAUUCAAAAAUCUGAUUAAAAAUUAGUUAUGUGUAUUUACCCAGACAUUUGUGAGAAUAGUUCAAUAAGUUAAUACCAAGACAUAUAAGCUAGCCGAAUCAAUUAGAAAACAAAAGGAGAAUGCUCACCACCGUCUUCGAAGUUAAGCAUUCGUGUGGGAAGUAACCAUACUAUUUAUGGUUAUUUAUGACUUUAUACAAAAAAGAGUCAUAACCACAAAACAGAAGAUUCGUUAUUCACCUUCUAAGAUAAAAAGAUAACUCUCCAGACAUGAACUUACCUUGCAAGCAAAGUAUUCUUAUCUUCAUCUAUUAUUUCUCAUUAAUUAACCUUAUCUUCACCAAGAUUGUUGUUGUAAUAAUGUUUUAGUCUUUAGAAGAUCAGAAGAUUCUUGAAUGAAACUUAAUACAAAUUUACAUAACUCACAACAAUUAUUUGAAGUGUGUUUGGAAGCUUUCUUCUUUCCUUCACGUCUUACUUUCCCAUACAAAGUAUAAAAUAGUUGAAUUUGGAUCCACGCAUUGUUUUCUAGAACUGACAUCAUAUCAUCCAAGCCACAACUUUCAUUAAUGUCUUACAUAGGUUCCGAAUGGUAACGUUUUUGUCCGCAGCACAGUUAAUAAUAAUAAAACUCUCUAAAUAUAUACGUUUUCGUUAUUAUUAGAACCGCAGUUAUUCCGGACGUUACCAUUCGAAGCUAUAGUUGACAAAGAAGACAUUUGAGACAUUCUUAAAAGCUUACAAUUAAAAGUAUAUUAUUCUCACGUCUAAAACUGAGUAGUCAACUAGAAACAGUCAUAAAACGUGGGAUAACAAGAUUUCAAUGUAACAACUAACAAUAGUUCAACAUUUUCUCCAAUGCAGGCCAACCAACCUUGAAACUCCAUAUGAAUCAACAUUUUUUUGCAAACUUAGAUGAAUUGGAUUUGGUUUCUGAAAAAUGGUGAUUCAAUUAUAUACAUGUGAUCAGUCGAAUAUUCGGAGACUAACAAGCUACUACAUUGAUCUAAAUUGGAGAUCUUCACUAAUAUCAACCCCCUAUACUUUCUACAGUUCACACAAAUGACAACCCAAAUCCAUUUACAGUCCCCCCACCUCCAAUAUAUUUUCCUCAUGCGACCCACCAAUCAUUGUUCCUUCACAACUCACCCUCACCGUGAUCCAGCCCCCACCUUCCAUAUCCAAUCUGGACCCAUCCAACCCACCAACACAUCUCAACCGUCCGAUCCUCUCCGAAUGACAAGCCCACAUGUUUGAACGGUCAAGAUUUCUCGGAUCCUCCUGUAAUUCCUCUGUUUCUUCUUCCUCAUCCACCGAUGACCAAAACGUUUGAUCUAUCACACUUGUCGGUGAGCUCGAAACAAAACCGGAAACCGGUUCAGUGUUUGGUUUAGUUAUCAAAAAAGGAUGGUUUAGAAGUUGUGUUGCCGUCCAUCUCUCUUUCGCUUCUCUCUUGAAACACUUCUCCAAGAAGUCCUUCGCUUCUUCGGUAAGCAAACAAGGAAGCUCCGGAGCCUCACCGGAAUACCCGACCCGAUAAAGAACUGAAACCGGACUCUCACCCGAACUCGCCUCCGUCCACGGCGGAGACCCAGUGGCCAUCUCAAUCACCGUACAUCCAACCGCCCAUAUAUCACUCUCCCUCCCCUGCUUCUCCCCACGCGCCACCUCCGGAGCCAUAAACGCCGGCGUUCCCAUCACCGCUUCCGAGUCAACUUCCGGGUCGACCCGUUUCGCACACCCGAAAUCCGCAAUCUUGGCCUCACCCUUCUCCCCAACAACCACGUUGCUCCCCUUCACAUCGCAAUGCGCGACUCCCCGCGAGUGAAUAUACUCCAACCCUCGCAGUAUAUCUCGCGUGUACUUCACGAUCGUAGCUUCCUCGAGCCCGCCUCCGUUCUUCGCCGCCGCGUCGGUCAACGUUCCGUACGGUGCGUACUCCAUCAAAAGGUUAUACGUGACGACGCCGUUUGACUCUCUCUUGGUCUCUGAUCCUCUGUAUCCGAUCACAUAGGGAGAACUCAACGACGAGAGGAUCUUGGCCUCUCUUUUCAGGAACUCUGAUCG
rnacentral:lncRNA from 1 species